rnacentral:lncRNA from 1 species
UAAUAAAUUCGUUUAUAAAACAAAUCUGUCAGUGUUCCUAUUGAUGGCUCAGAUCAAGUACUGAUAGGGUAGGGUAGCUAUUUUAGUAUUGAAUUUUUUUAUUUGAACUAGUUUAAACUUUCUUUCAGUUCAAAUUAUCAGAAAUUUAAAGCAGACUUGAUUUUACCGAAGUAAGAAGAUACUUUUGUACCAGGGGAAACAAAGUUCUUGAAAGGUGUUUGUCUUGCUUUAAAAAAAAUUGGAUUGGUAUAGUCACUGUCUGAAAGUUUGUAAGUCCAAAGUGCAUUUUCACUGUUCCCACCUAAAUAAAGGUUGGCCGCCCUUGGUGCCCUUACAUACCCCUGCUCUUUUGCCCUUCACCCUAAAUAAAGGUGGGCCGCCCUUGGUGCCCUUACGCACCAUUGCUCUUUAAAAGCCCUCCAAAACAAAAAAUCCACCCUCUAGCUGCCUUUUAAAAAAUAAAAUUUCCAAAUUUUUUAUCAGUCCAAUUCUUUAAUUCUAUUUAUAAGUCUCUGUCAGACUUCGGAUUCACAUUGUUACACUACAUCGGGGAUAUGUCAUAAUAUUUCAAAUUUUUAUAAAUGGUAGCAGGCAUAUAUAUGGUACAUGUCAAACAUUUCAAAUUUUUAUUGUUAAGUGAUUUGGAAUGUCGACUUAUUGGAGUACUCUGGGCCAAAGUUGAUUUAGAUAACUAUAUGGGAAAUAACAUUGUAAAGACAUAAAAAAAGGCACAGAACACAAAGAUUGAGCAACAGGGCCACCAUUUACAACAGGGCCACCAUUUACAUCAAAGCCACCAUUAACAACAGGGCCACCAUUAACAACAGGUUGUAAAUUCAGGAAAGGUUCUCUGGAAAGCUAGUCAAUGCAAUUCCUUCUUAUUUUACCUGCAGUGUUAAACAGUGUGAAAUAUAUAUGCUGCAAAAAAAACCAACCACAGCAACAUGCACACAAUUAAAUUGUUAAAUUUAAAAAGAAACUUGACUCCCCUUGAAAAACAAAAAGCUAUAAAAAUAUUCAAUUAGAAGGUGAAAAUGAUACAGUGA